UACGGGGGGGGCAAGCGUUGUUCGGAAUUACUGGGCGUAAAGCGCGUGUAGGCGGCUCUUCAAGUCGAGUGUGAAAGCUCCAGGCUUAACCUGGGAAUUGCGCUCGAUACUGUUGAGCUAGAGUGUGGAAGGGGCUACUGGAAUUCCGUGUGUAGCGGUGAAAUGCGUAGAUAUACGGAGGAACACCUGCGGCGAAGGCGGGUAGCUGGGCCAACACUGGCGCUGAGAACGCGAAAGCUAGGGGAGCAAACGGG
rnacentral:rRNA from 1 species